ensembl:lncRNA
AAAAAAUUGCUUUCCUUUCAAAAACAAGAACAUUUCUACAUGACCCCAAAUUUAUGUCAAGUGGAAUCAGGGGAUACAGGAAACUACAGUCUGAUCACUUCUGUACCAUCCACAUGAAUGCCCACUGUUGGAGUGGAUACGCAGGCAUCUCAAAAAGUACAGCACAAGUAAAAAUGAGCCAUAAUUUGUCUAAUUCACCAUCACCCAUGUGAUUGUGUUCUGCACUUCUUUAAAUUGUUCUUACCAUAUCAUUUAUAUGCAAAAUACCGUAGGCCAAAUUGUCAAAUUGUCUCUUUCUGUCUUGUAGUCUGAUAUAGACCACGUGUUCAGCUCAAUCCCCGACAGACCAGCAAACUCAUAGUGAAACCACAACUGUCACUUUCUCUAGCUACAGAUCCCAGAUACCCCUCUCAUAUAAUGUCAUAUGUCUGUUCUGCUCAACAAGUUAAAUGCUCAUCUCUCACAGGAUGCUGAAUAUAGAGCAUGUCUUGAGUUUAAUAGACAGACAAUAAGACCUUCUGUUAAACACCUACCUAUCUCUUACGCCUGUCUCUGUGAUUCUAUUUCUGGUAUUUCUAUCUCUCAUGUUUUUAUUCUGAUAAACUGAGGUGGCUUGGCUUUUUUUUCAUCUGUUUAGCUAAUUCCAUUAGGUGUCAGUUAAGCAAACUGUAAAACAACACCAACAUCCACCUUACACAUAAAAGCAACUGUUGAAGUUGAACCAAACCUCAGAUACAUUCAACUGACGCUAUGGUUACAUUUAACAUCUUUACCAGACUAUUUUAGAUAUGAAAACCCAAACUAAAUUCACCCUCUAAAAAUACCAACAUGAGAAACAUAUGAAUGCUUCUGUAAGCACCUCAAGAUGUCAACAGAAAUGUAGUGUUGUUGAGUUACAGAGCCAGACAUGGAGUCACAGCCAGAAUAUUAACUUUUGUGUGUUGCCAAUGCUGUACAUAAACCUUACUUCUUUUUAUCAGAGUUGUCGCAGUCAAAUAGGCCUCAAACAAAACAUAUGAAUUUACUCAGACAGUGAAGCUAAUGCUUUUUGGUUCAUUGUCAAAUAUUGGAGCAAAAUAUAACUACAGAACAUUGACUGAUUGACCUUCCCCCAACCUCAUGAUGUGAGACACUACUUGAUAGUUAAUGGACUUUGUUUGUGGUUUUCCUGCAAGGAAGUUUCUCAUCUAUCUCUCUAUUCAAACCGUUCUCUGAGUCACAGACACCAUAAUCCUAGUAGUUUGUGAGAGUCGAUUACUAUUGUCGGAACUAGAAGCACAAGUAUUUCGCUACACUCGCAUUAACAUCUGCUAACUAUGUGUAUGUGACAAAUAAAAUUUGAUUUGAGUCGGAGGAUCUGUGAAAAUGGUAUUGUUUAUCCCUGAUAUGGCUGGUCAUCUGUUUUUGGUCAUCCUCCUUGUCUGUGAGUUAUUCCUCCAUUCCAAGUUCUUGUAGCAUUCUACAGCUGUGGUAAGUUGAUGUCUCAUUUUAUCAGUCCAUUCUACUUUGAUUUGAAUGUUAUUUUUUUGCCUAGAGGAGUAUUGCCAUUACUACUAAAUAAGUUCAAUUGAAAUUAGAUGUCUGAUCUGAAGUAAUAAUGUCAUGAGCUUGUGUGAAUAGUUACUAACAUUAUGUUACUAUAGAACUGUGACUCAUGCCAAUCUAUACUGGUUUUGAAAAAAAUUCAAUUUUUUGUUAUUUCUAGAUACCUUUCAAUUCAUCAAAGCACAAGGUCAGUAUCAUCAUGGUCAAAUAACUUGACAUGGACAAACAACUCAAGCAUAGUUUGGUAACUCUUUUUCUAAUUUGGCACACAGAAACUAGAGGCCAUGAGUAAUUGGUCAAAAAGAUUGGCCUAUAGGUGGAGCUGUUAUAAGAAGACUCACUUAAACCCUCAUAUCCGCUGCCCCGUUUGACCUAGAGCAGGAGUGUCAAAUAUACAGCUGGUUUGAGUGA